rnacentral:misc_RNA from 1 species
UGCUGCGUCUUGUGUGUAUAAGCCUGCAGAUUAUCGCCCACAAAUGAGCCAUAUUGUUCAAGUGCUAGAAGGGAAUGUCCCGGUGGAAAGCAUAUGGUUAAGGAAUGACAGCACUUUCCUUUUCCAUGGGGCACCGUAUGUACCACAUAACUAUUGACAUCAUAGAUUUAAAACUCUACUCAAGGUCUGCAGAUGUGACAAGGCUUCUCAGUUAGUGCCUCUUCUCUCUUCAUGUAUUGCCUCUUCUAUAAAGAAAAAGAUUGUACCUGAUGAAAUUUGAAUCCUGUAUAUAUGAAAAUGAAAGUGCUGUCAUU